rnacentral:rRNA from 1 species
UGGCGGCAUGCCUUCACAUGCAAGUCUAACGGUAACGCGGGGCAACCUGGCGACGAGUGGCGAACGGGUGAGUAAUACAUCGGAACGUGCCCAGUAGUGGGGGAUAGCCCGGCGAAAGCCGGAUUAAUACCGCAUACGACCUACGGGUGAAAGGGGGGGAUCGCAAGACCUCUCGCUAUUGGAGCGGCCGAUGUCAGAUUAGGUAGUUGGUGGGGUAAAGGCCCACCAAGCCAACGAUCUGUAGCUGGUCUGAGAGGACGACCAGCCACACUGGGACUGAGACACGGCCCAGACUCCUACGGGAGGCAGCAGUGGGGAAUUUUGGACAAUGGGGGCAACCCUGAUCCAGCCAUGCCGCGUGCGGGAAGAAGGCCUUCGGGUUGUAAACCGCUUUUGUCAGGGAAGAAAAGCUCUGGGUUAAUACCCUGGGGUGAUGACGGUACCUGAAGAAUAAGCACCGGCUAACUACGUGCCAGCAGCCGCGGUAAUCUGA